rnacentral:rRNA from 1 species
CGGACGGGUGAGUAAUGCUUGGGAAUCUGGCUUAUGGAGGGGGAUAACGACGGGAAACUGUAGCUAAUACCGCAUAAUAUCGAAAGAUUAAAGGGUGGGACUUUCGGGCCACCUGCCAUGAGAUGAGCCCAAGUGGGAUUAGGUAGUUGGUUAGGUAAAGGCUGACCAAGCCGACGAUCUCUAGCUGGUCUGAGAGGAUGACCAGCCACACUGGAACUGAGACACGGUCCAG